rnacentral:rRNA from 1 species
UGCAAGUCGAACGCGUUGGCCCAAUUGAUUGAUGGUGCUUGCACCUGAUUGAUUUUGGUCGCCAACGAGUGGCGGACGGGUGAGUAACACGUAGGUAACCUGCCCAGAAGCGGGGGACAACAUUUGGAAACAGAUGCUAAUACCGCAUAACAGCGUUGUUCGCAUGAACAACGCUUAAAAGAUGGCUUCUCGCUAUCACUUCUGGAUGGACCUGCGGUGCAUUAGCUUGUUGGUGGGGUAACGGCCUACCAAGGCGAUGAUGCAUAGCCGAGUUGAGAGACUGAUCGGCCACAAUGGGACUGAGACACGGCCCAUACUCCUACGGGAGGCAGCAGUAGGGAAUCUUCCACAAUGGGCGCAAGCCUGAUGGAGCAACACCGCGUGAGUGAAGAAGGGUUUCGGCUCGUAAAGCUCUGUUGUUAAAGAAGAACACGUAUGAGAGUAACUGUUCAUACGUUGACGGUAUUUAACCAGAAAGUCACGGCUAACUACGUGCCAGCAGCCGCGGUAAUACGUAGGUGGCAAGCGUUAUCCGGAUUUAUUGGGCGUAAAGAGAGUGCAGGCGGUUUUCUAAGUCUGAUGUGAAAGCCUUCGGCUUAACCGGAGAAGUGCAUCGGAAACUGGAUAACUUGAGUGCAGAAGAGGGUAGUGGAACUCCAUGUGUAGCGGUGGAAUGCGUAGAUAUAUGGAAGAACACCAGUGGCGAAGGCGGCUACCUGGUCUGCAACUGACGCUGAGACUCGAAAGCAUGGGUAGCGAACAGGAUUAGAUACCCUGGUAGUCCAUGCCGUAAACGAUGAGUGCUAGGUGUUGGAGGGUUUCCGCCCUUCAGUGCCGGAGCUAACGCAUUAAGCACUCCGCCUGGGGAGUACGACCGCAAGGUUGAAACUCAAAGGAAUUGACGGGGGCCCGCACAAGCGGUGGAGCAUGUGGUUUAAUUCGAAGCUACGCGAAGAACCUUACCAGGUCUUGACAUCUUGCGCCAACCCUAGAGAUAGGGCGUUUCCUUCGGGAACGCAAUGACAGGUGGUGCAUGGUCGUCGUCAGCUCGUGUCGUGAGAUGUUGGGUUAAGUCCCGCAACGAGCGCAACCCUUGUUACUAGUUGCCAGCAUUAAGUUGGGCACUCUAGUGAGACUGCCGGUGACAAACCGGAGGAAGGUGGGGACGACGUCAGAUCAUCAUGCCCCUUAUGACCUGGGCUACACACGUGCUACAAUGGACGGUACAACGAGUCGCGAACUCGCGAGGGCAAGCAAAUCUCUUAAAACCGUUCUCAGUUCGGACUGCAGGCUGCAACUCGCCUGCACGAAGUCGGAAUCGCUAGUAAUCGCGGAUCAGCAUGCCGCGGUGAAUACGUUCCCGGGCCUUGUACACACCGCCCGUCACACCAUGAGAGUUUGUAACACCCAAAGUCGGUGGGGUAACCUUUUAGGAGCCAGCCGCCU